rnacentral:misc_RNA from 1 species
GGGCUCGCUGCUUGUAUCCUUCGUUGCAACUCUGAUUCGCUGCGGCAGGCGACCUCUUUUCUUCACAGCUCUCUCUUCUUUUUUUCUUCUCCCGGACACGCACCCUCAGAAAAAUGUCGUCCUCUGCCCUGUCGCUGUGGAAGUCUAUCGUGCGCUUGCCUCUCCCUGCUUCGUACCUGCACAAGGACGUGCGCUUUCAGCUCCUCGACUGUUGCCAGACAAAAGGAAACCCGCAUGAAACGGUGUCACGUGUUCGUCACAGCGAGGUGCCGGUGGUGCGUCUCUACGGAGUCACCGCCGAGGGGUUCAGCGUGUUGGUUCACUGCUACAACUACGAGCCGUAUUUGUGGAUUGAGGCGCCACCGAACUGGCUGCCUGUACAUUCUCAAGAGUUUAUGCGGGAGCUUAACAAUCAGCUUAGCAACCAGACUCGCCUACAAGACACUGUUGUGCGAGUGGAGGUGCACCAGCGCCGCAGUCUCAUGUACUUCAAAGGCGGCCAGCUGGUGCCACAUCUAAAGAUCGUUGUGCAGCUGCCGCAGCACAUCCCAAAGCUGCGCAGUCUCCUAUCCGACCGCGGCGUCUCGUGCCCUGGGGCGUGGGAUGGGACUCGCGUCUUCCAGACCUUCGAGUCGAACGUGAUUUUUCCGCUGCGCUUCCUCGUCGACAACGACAUUGGCGGUAGCAACUGGCUGACGCUGACCUACGGCAAGUUCUUCGCGUCCCCCAUUAAGACGUCGACCUGUCAGAUUGAGGUGGCGUGCUCGCACGAGGAUGUACAGAACCACGAACCAUUGGGGGACUACUUGUCCAUCGCGCCUUUCCGCAUCCUUUCCAUCGACAUCGAGUGCCAGGGCCGUAAAGGACUCUUCCCUGAGCCGGAGCAUGACCCUGUCAUUCAGAUUGCCAACCACUGCGUCGAGUACGGGCACGAGUCGGAGCCGCUCACGAAGACCAUCUUCACCCUGAAGAGCUGCGCACCGAUUGCGGGGGCGCAGGUGCUCUCAUACGAAACGGAGGCGGAGAUGUUGCUGGCAUGGGCCACCUUCAUGAAAGCGCUUGACCCCGACAUCCUGACGGGCUACAACAUCUGCAAUUUCGAUUUCCCAUACUUGCUGAACCGCGCCACAGCCCUGAAGGCCAGCGACGCAUUUCACUACUGGGGUCGACAAGUUCACGAGCGGACGGUGGCGCGCGACAAGAAGUUCCAAUCCAAGCAGAUGGGCAACCGCGAGUAUACGGAGCUGACCUUGGAGGGGCGCAUCAUUAUGGAUGCGAUGGUGGUGAUCCAGCGCGACUACAAGCUGCGCUCCUACUCACUCAACUCGGUAUCACAGAACUUCCUUGGGGAGCAGAAGGAGGAUGUGCACCACUCCAUCAUCUCAGACCUGCAACACGGCGACGAGGAGACGCGCCGCCGCCUCGCUGUGUACUGCCUGAAGGAUGCGUUCCUUCCUGUGAAGCUGCUGGAUCGGCUCAUGUGCAUCGUGAACAACGUGGAGAUGGCACGCGUAACGGGUGUGCCGGUGGGGUGGCUGCUGGAGCGCGGCCAGCAAAUCAAGGUCUUCUCCAUGCUCCUGCGCAAGGCCCAGAAGAAGAAGCUGGUGGUGCCGACAGUCGAGUACACAGGUGGCAGCGAUCGCGGCUACGAAGGCGCCACCGUCAUCGACCCGAUCAAAGGCUUCUACAACUGCCCCGUCGCAACGCUCGACUUCGCGUCGCUGUAUCCGUCUAUCAUCAUCGCACACAACCUGUGUUACUCAACAUUGGUGCGCCCUGCGGACGCGAGGCUGUACCCGGAGGACGCCCUCGAUCGAUCGCCCACGUCGGACGUCUUUGUGAAAAAAGAGGUCUUCCCAGGUAUUCUUCCCGAAGUACUACAGGACUUGCUGGCUGCACGAAAGCAUGCGCGGGCGAUGAUGAAGGAUGUGCCCGUGAACUCGCUCGAGUACAAGGUCCUGAACGGGCGCCAGCUUGCGCUGAAGGUUAGCGCCAACUCUGUGUACGGCUUCACGGGUGCUCAGGUGGGUAAGUUGCCGUGCCUGGAGAUCAGCGCCUCCGUCACGGCGUAUGGCCGGCAGAUGAUUGACAGGACGAAAAACCUCGUUGAGGAGCUAUACCCUGGCGCGCGCGUGCUGUACGGCGAUACUGACUCUGUGAUGGUGAAGUGUGUCACCGACGAGAAGUCGAGCGACAAGGAGCGCCUGCAGGCAGCCAUGGAUUUUGGCAUCGAGGCGGCGGAGAAGGUGUCCAGCAAUUUCCUCAAGCCAAUCAAGCUCGAAUUUGAGAAGGUGUACUUUCCGUACCUACUCAUGAACAAGAAGCGCUACGCAGGCUUGCUGUGGACGAGCACGGAUCGAUUCGACAAGCUGGAUGCCAAGGGUAUCGAGACUGUGCGCCGAGACAACUGCCCUCUUGUCGCACGCAUGGUGUCUGGCGUGCUGAACCGCAUUCUCAUUCACCGCUCCGUCGAGAGCGCUGUCGAGUUUGUGAAAGGCACUAUCAGCGACCUGCUGCUGAACCGACUCGACAUAUCGAAUUUGGUGAUCACAAAGGCCUUCUCCAAGGCGGAGGAUGAGUAUGCCGGUGCCCAGGCACACAUCGCCCUUGUGGAGCGCAUGCGGCAGCGCGACCCUGCUUCAGCGCCGACCAUUGGCGACCGUGUGGCGUACGUUAUUAUUAAGGCAGCAAAGGGUGCCAAGGCGUACGAGCGAAGCGAGGACCCCAUCUACGUGCUCGACAACAAUAUCCCAAUCGACACACAGUACUAUCUCGAGCAUCAGCUGGCUCCGCCAAUUAUGCGCGUGUUUGAAGGUGUACUGGACGACCCCAGCGUGCUUAUCAAAGGAGACCACACACGCCACAUUGCUAUCUCCGCCCCGAGCAAGAAUGCCGGUGGGUUGAUGAGGUUCGUGAAGGUUCAGCUGCAGUGCAUCUCGUGCCGCGCCGUCAUCAAAGCAGGCGCGUUGUGCGACAACUGCCAAGACAAGGCACCUGAGGUGUAUGGCAAGAUUGUAGCGAAGCGCAACCAUUACGAAGCGAUUUACUCGCAGGUGUGGACGCAGUGCCAGCAGUGCCAGGGGUCGCUGAAUCAAGAGGUGAUCUGCUCUAGCCGCGACUGCCCGGUGUUCUACAUGCGCAAGAAGGUGCAGAAGGAUCUGCACGAGCAGCAGGUCCUUCUGGAUCGUUUUGGCGUUGUGGACGAUUGGUAAAUAGCAGUUUUGAAGACACAGACGUGAUUGCUUUCGGUGCCUUUCUUCUCAACCUUCUUCUGCAUCCUUUUACUUGAUACUUCCAUGCCCUGGAUGAAAGGAGUGCGCCUCGGCGCGUGGUACCCAAGACUCUGUACACGCCCUGUGUGGGGAAGAAGCCAGGCAGCCCCUAUCCCCUGCCAAUGCUGCACCGCACCUGGCGGUGGCAGGGCCAGGCGCCUACGACGUGGGGGAGGUCAGAGCGAUGCAUCGCUGCUGACGUGGGCGGCCAGGUCGUGGAUGGCGCUGCGUCGGAGCGACCCGCGACUGUGCACCGGGCUGCGCCAUCCAUGCUAUAUGGGCGGAGUGUCAGCGCGACUCGACCGCGACCCGCCCGGCCCUCACUGCCUCCUGGUGUGUGGCGCCUGCGCCACGCCGAGGGAUGCGCCGGGUGGCGGCCGGCAUAGUGGGGGCAGCUGUGGGGCUGCGUGCGCAGAAGAGGCUGGCAGAGGCUGAGGCAGGGCCCGUGCUGAGAUGGCUGCGCCGGCGCAUGACUGUGAUGCGUGUGUCUCUAGCGCUGCUUCGCACCACGCGAUGGGGGCCUGCGACGGGCCGGGGCUAGCGUGCCCCUUCCGCUAUCACAGCAUGGGCGGAAUGGGCACGUAAAAGAAAGGUAAAUGCUGCCAUAUAUGCUCAGUAAGAGUGCUGUCCGGCUUGGCUGAGCAUCGGCUCACGCAUAGAGAGAGAAGAGCGACAUCCGAAAUGGGCGUGGACAGCGGCGCGUACGGCUUGCAGCUGCGGGCUCCGUUUUUCGUAUUGUGUUCCCCGUCGGGUACAUUUUCGGCUUCGUUUGUCUCGAGAUUAGUGCCCGGUGUGCCUCUCUUUGUUCGCAUAUAUAGACAAGGAGCGCACUUGUGUGUCAGCGUGCGAAUGCGCGUGUAUGUGCAUGCUUAGUGGGUGCUUGGGUGUUUUCGGCCAGCCGCCGAAGGGUAAACUGUGGUUGAAUGUGCCGAUGUGUAGCCGUUGCCCUCAUAGAAGAGACGGUGAAGGGAAAAAUAGAUGGUGCAGGCUGCAGGUGUACGGAAUCGUUCACAACGUAGCAAAAGAGGAAAGCGAACAGGGGUGGAGGCUGCAGCGGAAAGAUGUAUAUCCGCUGUGUACUGAAGGGCAGCUGUUUUCCCACUCUCACCACCUUAGCAGGUGAUGAUGAAAUUGUGGUACUGACCUUCAUGAGGAGAGUGCACGGAGUCCAGUGAUGCGGCGACCUUUGUAUGCCCUUCUAUUUCUUUGCAUCUGCCAACCUUCCUCGCUUACCGUCGAUGUUUCUCUUUCACAUUUCUGCCUACUGUUUCGGGUGUUUGUGUGCGUGCGCGUGUGUGAGCCGGUUCCCCGGGAGUGCUCAGCGCAAG